GAUGAACGCUGGCGGCGUGCUUAACACAUGCAAGUCGAACGAAGCACUUUAACCUGAUUCUUCGGAUGAAGGUUUUUGUGACUGAGUGGCGGACGGGUGAGUAACGCGUGGGUAACCUGCCUCAUACAGGGGGAUAACAGUUAGAAAUGACUGCUAAUACCGCAUAAGACCACAGAGCCGCAUGGCUCGGUGGGAAAAACUCCGGUGGUAUGAGAUGGACCCGCGUCUGAUUAGGUAGUUGGUGGGGUAACGGCCUACCAAGCCAACGAUCAGUAGCCGACCUGGGAGGGUGACCGGCCACAUUGGGACUGAGACACGGCCCAAACUCCUACGGGAGGCAGCAGUGGGGAAUAUUGCACAAUGGGGGAAACCCUGAUGCAGCGACGCCGCGUGAGCGAAGAAGUAUUUCGGUAUGUAAAGCUCUAUCAGCAGGGAAGAAAAUGACGGUACCUGACUAAGAAGCACCGGCUAAAUACGUG
rnacentral:rRNA from 1 species